ACAAAAAAAAAAAAAAACCAAGAACCGCCGCGCCCGAACCCUAAGAGCCCGAGACUCCUCCGAUGCACGGGGCCAUGGAUUUCGACCUGAAUGCCGUCGACCAGUGUGGGGUCAUCGGUGACUCGAGGGUGGAGCAUUGUAGAGGAAAUAGGAAGAAGGGAUAGCAAAGAAGAGAAGAAAAAUUAGGGUUGAGCGAUGCAGAGGAAAUAGAAAGAAGGGAAAGUGGAGACGAGAAGAAAAAUCAGGUUUCUGAAGGGUAUUCCCGGUCUCGGUUCCGGUUCCCGGUUCCGCGAAAAAUGGAACCGAGAACCGGAACCGACUACUCAAGAAUCGAGAACCGAACCGGACCCUCCGGUGCGGUUCUCCGGUUCCCGGGUAGAACCGGGAACCAUGCUCAGCCCUAGUUCCACCUAUAACUUGUUGCUUGACUUCAUCUGCAAUUUUUUUUUUUUUGGCCUAAUGCAACAGAUAUGAGAAAACCAAAGCUGGUAGCUGAAAUUGCUAAGUAGCUGCACAAAUUCCAUCAAGUAGAAAUUCCAGGUUCUAAAGAACCUCAACUAUGGAAUGAUAUAUUCAAGUUUUUUGAGAAAGCAUCUGAUCUCAAGUUUGACGAUAAUGAAAAGCGAAGGAAGUAUGAGACAAUAUCUUUUAAGGAAAUUCACGAUGAACUUCUCGAGCUAAAGCGCCCCUGCUUUUGAACGCGGACGCUGUCGACGCCACCGACAUUGUCGCCUCCCACCGUCACUUUCCCAAGCCCCAUUGAUAGGCACCCCAUUGGCGACUCCCGUAUGUCCAAAGGUUGGUUUUCUUUUUUUUGGGUUCUACUUAGUAGAAUUCGGUGCCAUGUUAAUGUUUAGGUUCGAAAAUACAUCUGCAUUAGGUAUUGCUUUAUCUUACUUGUUGCUGACUUGCUGUGUUAUUCAGAUAGUUAGUGAAAAUUGGAAGAAAGUGAAAGGGCGGUAUCUCUUGAGAUUGUUUGCAUAUAGAUAUAGUCCUCCUAAGAGAUUAGAGGCUUCUAAGCCUAAAUUGGUCACUCCUUGUCUGAAGCAAGAGAUUGAGAAGCUGGUAUUAGGAUUGUUUAUACCGCUUGGUGUUGCCCAAGGUCUUGCUUAUCUCCACCAUGAUUGCCAUCCCCUGAUCAUUCAUCGAGAUGUGCAAACAUUUCUUUUGGUCUUGCGCCGAAGGCUGAAGGCUUUUGGUUUAAUUCAAGUAGGUUGUUAGUAAUUACUUUCGAUUUUUUUUGUAGGCAUUAUGUACUGGUAUUGUUAUUUUACUGACCAUGGGAAUGAAAAGCUCCAUCUCUUAGUGUUUAGUGAAGAUCUCUUCUUCAUAUAUCUUCUGCCACCUAUCAUAUUCAAUGCGGGGUUUCAGGUGAAAAAGAUGCAAUUCUUUAGAAACUUUAUGACCAUCAUGCUAUUUGGCGCUAUCGGAACCUUAGUUUCAUGCACUAUUAUUUCACUAGCGUGUAAUCAUUGAGCCCAGUCAUCGAUCGGCUCUAUUCAAGUGUGAUAUGUGCCUCAAGCUUCGCUCCUGCAAAACCACGGGCAAAUCUCCGUCCCCGUUCCUCUGCCUUAGGAAGAAAUGGCCAUUCCUACUCCUCCGGUCACUUGACAAACGCUAGAGUAGCACGGAAAGAGAAGCGAGUGAGCGUUAUAGUAGGGGAGAAGCGAGUGAGCGUUGUAGUAGGGGCCCCUGCUUUGCCAGCGACAGUAGGGGAACGGCCGCUUGAUGAACUUCAAACGAACGCCGGAGCAGCAAGGAGCGCGCAAAGAGAAGCAAGCGAGUACCGGAGUAGGGGCGGCCAUAAUGUGGUUUGUUGAUGUUGACGGGAGAAUGGCCGCUUGACGAACGCCGGAACAAAUGCCAGAGUAGCAAUGAGAGCGGAGAGAGAAGUGAGCGGCGCCAGAGCAGGGGCGCUCGCAAUGUAGGUUGUUGGCAAUGGCAGGGAACAAUCAUUUGACACACGGCGGAGCAGCGACAAGCAUAGAGAGAUUUUGGGAUUCAAAAUUUUGAAACCUUUGUCGGGUGAAAAGAAUUCGUAGCUAUUAAAGAGUAACCGUGCAGAGCCUCUACUUCUCUUUCCUUCGUUUGAAGAGGAAAGAGAAAAGCCCCUCUGCUUCUCUUUUCCUUCGUUUUAAGAGGAAAGGGAAUAGCUCCUGUGCCAUCAUAAAUGCAUUGUAGAUGAGAGAGAAUGUGCAAGUUGUGCAGGCUAGGGGGAGAAUCGACGUGCAUAGGAGAAGAAGGUAGGAAGAAGCUACGGAGAGGAGAAAGAAAGAAAAAAUGCAAAAGACAGCAAGGGGUCCACUUUUCCACGUGGCGUCGCGUGAGUGGUCGGGGACCACACUAACAUGGCGCUCUCGGGCCACCCAAUAUUUUCUCAGCCUGGCUACUUCGACUGUAAGGAUUGCUUCGACGUGGAAGGCUGGGAAAGGCACUUGGAUGUACGACAACGGCAUCCUCGACUACAAGAUUGACUAGGUCUUGGCCACUAAGCCACCGGGCACCAUUCGGAUUGGCCUAGACAUUGGGGGAGGGAGUAGGAUGUUCAUGGCCAAGUUGAGGGAGCGCAACGUGACCAUUGUGACCACCACGAUGAACCUAGAUGGCCCGUUCAACACCUUCAUUGCAUCCCGAGGGCUCAUCUCGAUGCACAUGAGCGUGUUGCAGAGGCUGCCUUUCUUUGAGAACAUGCUGAACAUAGUGCACUUGUUGCACGUGCUGAGCAACUAGAUCCUGAACACAAUGUUGGAGUUCACACUGUACGAUAUUUAUCGGGUGCUGAGGCCGGGCGGGUUAUUCUAGCUUGACCACUUCUUCUGCGAAGGCCUACAGCUGAACGGGAUGUACGUGCCGAUGAUGGACCGGGUCGGGUUCAAGAAGCUGAGGUGGAAUGCUGGGAGGAAGGUCGAUUGGGAGCCGCAGAAGAACGAGUGGUACUUCUCCACCCUCUUGGAGAAGCCCAUGACAUGACUUUCAUGCAUUUACACAGUCCUCAUAGAUCGACUUGCUUCCUUUGUUGCAUUUCUUCCUUGAGCUUAGAUGUCACCAGAAUAAUAUCAAGUCAAGGUACCUUGAAUUAAACACCUUCUACAAUUCAAAGUACCUUGAAUUAAACUUUACUCUCUUAAUGAAAAUUAGCCAAUUUAAGGUACAAAUGAGAAAAUGGAUAAUUACAAUAGGAAAAUUGUGCACCGGUGACAGUAAUGAUUCAUUUUCCAUCCCGGUGAACCUGUGCAAUGGAUUCCUAAACUUCAAAUAAGUCAUGAAGAAAGUAUGUAACAAAGUCAUUUCAUGUCUUAACUUGUUUUGCAACAAAAUUUUUGAGCUUAGUGUAGGAAAUGAGAAGUUCAUGGAUCAAGGUUUGCAACGCCAAGAUGAUAUCAUGUCAUUCCCUGUUAUUUUUCAGCCAACAUUGGAGCAGGUAGUGAGGCAAAAAUUGAGUGAAGGACGAAAGGUAAUCAUUGUAACCUUUUUUCUUUAACACUUUGCAAAUAUUGUGCCAUGAAGUGGGAUAUCAUCUGUAAGGAUUAUCAUUCAUGGUAUUGUACAGAUGGCUUUACCAUAAUUGUCUCUUUGGGUCUAAAACCUUCUCUUUUCUUCUUUGAUCAUGGUUGUAAUUACUAUCCAUUUCUUAUUAUUAAUUCAUGUUUCAUAUUG